CAAUUCAAGAAUCAAGAUAUUCUGUCUGCUGAGAAAAGAUUGAAAGCUAGCAGAUCUCAACAAUUCGUUUUGCCAUUUCUGUCUAGGGCUGUGAACACUAUUAUUGAGGGAAUUCACCCUGGAACUGGAGGAAGCAGAAGCCCAGCAAUCAGAAAGGAGAAGUCAGAUAAUCAUCUUGCUUUUACAUUCAGUCCUUAGGGUUUUACAAUUUUUCUCUCCUUUUGAAACCAAACCAUCUCAGAGAAAUUCAUUUUUGUAGGGGUGGUUGGCAGAAAGGAUGGCUCAAUUGAAUUAAACUGAGAAAUUAUGCACUGGGUUUCAGUGCAAACAAACACAGUCCUUUAUUUAUGCAUAUUUAUUUGGAGGUCACUAAAUAUGUAAUGACCAGAAUCAGAGUAUUUUGAUCACAACCAUCUUGCUCCUCACUGUUGAUACAGCCCUUUGAGUAGAUUGCUGAAUGACAGUUCUUCACAGCAAACGCUGAAAAGCUUAGGAAGCUCAUAAACUCUAGCACAGGGCAAGCAAUGGGAACUGGUUAUGUACCAGGGGUACUGCAGGGAAAAUGCAGUGCCUCUUCUCUUUUUUUUCCAGAUUAAACUGAAAAAAGCAGAGCUUUUCCAUUGUUGUUUGUUUUCUCUUAGAGGACUCAUUAAAACUGAUUGCUCUGGCUGAUUUACAGGAACUCAGGUUAAACCAAUAAAGAACUAAAAUGCUUACUGAGAGGAUAAUGCAAUUUGCUUUGCUAGUUAUAUCAUUGCAGGUGGGCACAGCUCUAAGUCUGAACAUUCCCACAGAAAAUAUCAUCAAAACAUCAUCUAAUAGACAAUAGAAACCAGUCAGAACAGUUUUCACAGAAAGGAUAAUUCCUGGAGGCAGAAUAUUUGCUAGUGAAAUGAACUAAAUUGACUUUUAAAAUUAACACUGUGUGACUUAUGCAGAUUCUACAGACUAAUUAACCCUUUCAUCUGCAGUUAAAAAUUGUUUGCUACUUAUAGGAAGAACUAGAUUAACCCUCUACACCAUCAGGUAAUUUUAUUACUCAAAAAAUACAAAAAA
rnacentral:lncRNA from 1 species